AGAAGUUAAAAUGGUUAAAAAUGGCAAUUCAAAGGACUAAAGGAGACUUUUCCCAUUAAAACUUGAAUCAAAUUGAUUUGAUUCUCAGAUCAGCAAUAGAAAAAAAAAAGGACUCAGCCCUCAACUUCAUCUCCUUCCUUAGAAAGCUUAAACAUGCAAGAACUUAGAAUUGCCAUAUCUUGCUCGAUUUUGGUCCGAAUUAGACGAUUCUUGCGGCCACGGAACGGGGAAGGAAAGCUCUAUGCAUCUAUCCCAUAGACUCAAGACAUAUUGACGAGUACGGACUUGACGGUGUUGGCUUAGUGGGGUUCGGCCAUUAUUUUGAUAUCAUGAUUUGGAUAGCAAAUUCGUGUUUUCUUUCAGGUUUAUUAUGUGGUGACGUGGUCGAGCUUCCAUCCACUGUUCUGGAAGUCUCAGUUAUGAGAGUUCCUACCCUUCUUAGAGCUGCAGUAGUUAUGUUAGUAGAUUAAUUCGAUAGUUGACAGUUUAUGUUUUUCAUGUGCUGUGGCAUAAAGAUGUAUUUUUGGAAAAUGGUUUAUCCACACAUUUUGUAUAUGAUUACAUGAUAUUUUGCACAAGGUGGUUUGUGUUUUUAACAGGUGCCAGUAGCACAGUUUUCAAACGUUA